AAGAACUAAAUCUGCUGGCACCUUGAUCUUGGACUUGCCAGCCUCCAGAACUGAGAGAAAUAAUUGUCUAUUGUUUAAGCCGCCCAC